rnacentral:rRNA from 1 species
CCUACGGGUGGCUGCAGUGGGGAAUAUUGGACAAUGGGCGAAAGCCUGAUCCAGCCAUGCCGCGUGUGUGAAGAAGGCCUUCGGGUUGUAAAGCACUUUCAGUGGGGAAGAAAGCCUUGGGGCUAAUACCCUCGAGGAAGGACAUCACCCACAGAAGAAGCACCGGCUAACUCCGUGCCAGCAGCCGCGGUAAUACGGAGGGUGCGAGCGUUAAUCGGAAUUACUGGGCGUAAAGCGCGCGUAGGCGGUCUGAUAAGCCGGUUGUGAAAGCCCCGGGCUCAACCUGGGAACGGCAUCCGGAACUGUCAGGCUAGAGUGCAGGAGAGGAAGGUAGAAUUCCCGGUGUAGCGGUGAAAUGCGUAGAGAUCGGGAGGAAUACCAGUGGCGAAGGCGGCCUUCUGGACUGAUACUGACGCUGAGGUGCGAAAGCGUGGGUAGCAAACAGGAUUAGAUACCCUUGUAGUC